AGAACGAACGCUGGCGGCAGGCUUAACACAUGCAAGUCGAGCGCCCCGCAAGGGGAGCGGCAGACGGGUGAGUAACGCGUGGGAACAUACCCUCCGGUACGGAAUAACUCAGGGAAACUUGUGCUAAUACCGUAUACGGCCAUUUAUCGAGAGAUUGGCGGCGAAAGAUUUAUCGCCGGAGGAUUGGCCCGCGUCCGAUUAGCUAGUUGGUGUGGUAAUGGCGCACCAAGGCGACGAUCGGUAGCUGGUCUGAGAGGAUGAUCAGCCACAUUGGGACUGAGACACGGCCCAAACUCCUACGGGAGGCAGCAGUGGGGAAUAUUGGACAAUGGGCGAAAGCCUGAUCCAGCCAUGCCGCGUGAGUGAUGAAGGCCUUAGGGUUGUAAAGCUCUUUCACCCAGACGAUAAUGACGGUAGUGGGAGAAGACGCCCGGCUAACUUCGUGCCAGCAGCCGC
rnacentral:rRNA from 1 species